rnacentral:lncRNA from 1 species
GCCUAACCCAAAAAAUUAUGCACAAUAUGGUGACCACAGAAUAGAAUUCCUUUAUUCUCAUUCCACACACAACGAGAUUAAGUCGCAAUCAUGUCAUCAAACAACAGUAACAUCAAUGAACAAAUCAAAUCCAAGAUGUACAGCAACAUGAACAUGUAGCUUAUUGUUGUAGCUUACUUGGUUGAAGAAUAUACCCUAAUUGAUGAUUCUGGACUUAAAUCAUGUAAUAAAUUCAUUUUCUCAAUACAAGCCAAAAAUAUAUAUAUAUAUAUAUAUAUAUAUAUAUAUAUAUAUAUAUGAAUCUGAAUGUGAGUAUUCAUUUUCUUCUCAAAAUGAGUGCACGAUGACAAAAAUCAUCCGGAGCAGAUGCAACAAACACAGUUGAUCCCUUGGACACAAAUAGAAAAGCUCUUGCAGCUGCAUUAUGAGAACAGAUUCAUUAUCAACCUGUCAGCCUGUUAAAGGUGUAAAGUUGUCUGAAUUCACAGGAACACACACACACAAACACACACACACACACACACACACACACACACACAUAUAUAUAUAUACAAACACAUGUAUAGGAACUGCAGCUGCACACACAGCUCCUCUGGAUGUUUGCUGUCGCUUGUAUAUUGCAGCGCCUGAGCAUCGCACUGCUCUUGUUCUUCCAAUAAAGGGAGAGAGAGGGAGAGAGAGAGACAGAGGGGGAGGGAGGGAGGGAGGGAGGCUGUGGCUCUCACAGUCAGGGAGUGUCGUCGUGGAAGCGGGUCGCUCCUCCACACCAGACUCCUUCUAUGCCUCCGCGCCGGAGGAGCAAGGAGGACCACCGCCUCUGUUUCUCCCCCUUCGCCGCGGACGCACGGAUAGCAGCCGCGCCACGCCUGGGAAGAUGGUUUUUCUGCUGCACAUGGUUUCCCUUUACACCCUGAGCGUCUUUGGCGGAGCGUCCGCCGCCACUCACCAUAACUGCAACGGUCCCCUGGCGUCAGCGUUGCCCCAUUCAUCCUUUCAGAGCUCCUCUCAGUCCUCCGUCAGAUACGCCGCGUACAAUGGCAAACUCAACAGAAGAGAUGGUGAGUGGAGACAACGUUCGCUAUUGCUGAACGCUUCGGUCACACGCGCCGUCCCCACCUGCUGCACCAGCGGCUACCAGUGAACAUUAACAAUUG